ACAACAGAGACAAAGAGAAUUUGUCAAACAGAUAGAAUUAGUUGAUAUAACUGAUCUUGUCAAUAAAAUAACAAAAUAAGGUAUAAAACCUCAAUGAGCUUGGAUGAAAGGAGUUCAACAUCCUCAUAUAUCUCCUUUAUCUAUUUCUUUUCAUUUUAUUAAUCAUCAUGUCUUCUACAUUAUUUCCUAUUCUGAUAAUUUUUCCAGCUUCAUUACUGAUGUUAUUCUGCUGAAGAGGGUAUGUGAGAAAUGAUCUAUCAUAUCAAACAUUGUGAGAAAGGAUCUAUCAUAUCAAGCAUUGUGAGAAAGGAUCUAUCAUAUCAAGCAUUGUGAGAAGUGAUCGAUCAUCUUAUUCUAUCUCAAUUUCGGAAACCGGAUCACUGCUCCGAUGUAUACCAGCACUGCCCCCAUCAUAUGUUCAAGCAUUCUCUUUCUUAUAAAUACUGCCU
rnacentral:sRNA from 1 species